rnacentral:misc_RNA from 1 species
ACAAAUUAUUUAGGCCCCUGGCUGCCCCAAAAGGGCGAAGGGGGGGAAACCUAAACAUUUGUGUGCACCAUAUCUGUCUUUGGCAGUUCGAGUGUCUUGGGUGCGUAACUGCCUCAAGGACCUACCGAGGCUUUCCUUUCGGGGUUUGCCAGAGUUGGGCUGCCGCUUUUUUUGAACAAACCUUUUGUUGUUUUUGUUUUGACUGAAUUUGUUUGAUCUUUAUGAUUGAAUUUAAAUA